rnacentral:lncRNA from 1 species
GCUCUGCACUCAGUUUCCCUCUUUCAAUCAUGUCUUUUGUAAUUCCUGAAUUCUUCCAGGGUUGUAAAUCAUGGUGGAUCCACCGAAAGUAGUCCGGACAAGUUUCUGUUGACAAUUUACCAGGCUCAAAUACCAAAGGAUAAUUGUUUGGGCAUUUUUGUUGCAAACCUGAAUCAGAGCAGUUUAGAGGGUAUUCAGUUCUUGAAUGGUGUUUUUUAAUACUACUUCGUGAGGAAAAAAUCAUCUGGGGAAAUGGGUUGCCCUGUAUAAUAGGCUGAGAAAAAGGUAGACAAAACAAAAGUUAAGUUGUUGCUUUAAUCUUCUAGUAACAGAACUUGAUAUAUAGAAAUCUAAUGCCUUUGUUGUAUAUACUUCAGUACUAAUUUCAUUCUUCUAGGGUUUAUCGUCUAAACAAUAUGUAAAUAGUGCCGGCAUGGAUUAUCAAUUGAGGUAGUAUCUGCAUGCAUUAUAUGAAGAAUGUCUAGGGGCAUCCAUGUUUUCCACUUCUUGUUUG